GACUUAGGAUUUGAGCAUCUUUCUGUUAUGCUGUUGCCCCACUCCUAUUGCAAUACUCCCCUUCUUAAGAAAGUUUUUCUAGACUAAUGUCUAGAUUAAACUUCUUUUCUUUGACAAUAAUGAUGCCAUGACUUGGACAAAAUGCCCAUUGCCUCUGGGUCCUGCUUUCUUCACCCAGUGCUGCCUUAUUGGACUCCUUGUGCCUCUCCUUGGCUGGGGAAAUCAGAAUACACAGUGGUAUCCCACUUCUAAGAUGCCUGAUCUGAAGGACAGUAAAACAACUGACCUUUGCCAGCAUGUAAAACACAUGGUUUAACUAGUCCUCCAGGAACAACACUGAGCAAUCCUGACCUGGGACUACUUUACUCGGCCAUCUCCUACUUGAGAUGCUCCUUGUCUCUCUGUUCAAGGACACCUUUUCUGAGCCUUUCUUGAACAAGAGUGGAGGACCGAUAGGGCGAUUAAACUGUCCUUGACACAACUUUAGAGCUUCAACUGAGAAUCUAGAAGAGAGUAGAUGGAAAAAUAUUUUUCCCUCCCCUCCAAAUGCAAGGAUAAUCUUACACGAGUCCAGGAGGAAGGCUCAUUCCACACUAAGUGUUCUGAAUCAAAAAGAUGAACAAAAUACAGUGCCAUUCUUCAAGGACUUCACAGUCUACAGGAAAGGGAUAUAGUUAAACAAAUAACUGCAGAAUUGGAAAUUGGAGCUGAUGUGCUUAGAAGUGUUUUGAACAAGGGGCAUGACUGUGACUCUCUCUGCUUUUGCAAGCUUCAGGAAAACCUUUACUCACAGAACAAAUCCAACAGCUGUGAUUCUGGCUUUUCCUCCAAGUAAAGGCUUAUCUUCUUCUUCCCAAGCUAAAUGCAUCCGCAGAGCCCUCCAGCUCAACAUCAUUAUUUGUAUGGAACUUUUAUAUAAUUCCUCCUUAAAAACACAAAUAUUCUCAUUUGUGCCUCAAAAUUGUGAAGGUUAUUAUUAUCCCUCAUCCAACCUCAUUUUGCAGAUGAAGAAAUCAAACCCCAGAGAAACUGAGUAGCCUGCUGUUUACAAAGUGAUGGAAUCAUGACUCGUGUCCACGUCAUUCUGCUUGCAAAUCCAGUGUCCUGCUGGACUCUGCUCUCACAUUUUAGUUGGGAGAGGCCUGGGAGAACUGUUUUUGCCUUUAGGCAGACACACAGAUCCUGAGGUGGCCCAGCCUGAUGAAAGCAAAUAUUAAGAAAAUGGAAAUGGUUAGACUCAAUGAUUAUUGUCAUUUUCACUUUACAGUUGAAAAUACAGAGCCUCAGGGUGAAGCCCUAACUUCCCACAGCAGAUGGGGUCUAUGAGGAGGAAGAAGUAGACGCAUGGACCAGUCCUGUUAUGAAGACAAGUUUCAUGGUGCUACUCUGUCUCCAUGAGCUCCUAUGGCCCAGAAGCUGGCAUCCUGUGAGUGGAAAACCACCACUCCACAUAUCCUUGGACACUGAAGCAACCCAUCUGCAAUCAUUGGACUAGGUAUUAGCACAAUCAAAAUAGACAUUUCCUUCCUGAAUAAACCUGAUUAAUGGCUUAAUCUUUUUACAGUAUCAUUCUUGGAAAACUCAAAGGAGGUGAUUCUGUAUUAGGCUGGCA
rnacentral:lncRNA from 1 species